UCCUAAUCACCUUCCUUGAUGCAAGCUUUCAUUGGAAAAAAUUUAGCAAUAAAUGUUUAUAAUAUGUUGAAUAUAAGAAAAGUAAUUCUAACAAAGGAAAUUAUACUAUACUGGGUACUCUGGUUUUUAUUAGAUGAAUGUUUUGAAGGAGCCCCCAGAAAUUCAAUUCUGAUAAUUUGAAUAAGCUUCUUUAAAAUAGCUUUAACCUGCUGCCCAAAACGAAGCCUCACAACGGCAGCCGCAGCUUAACGGGCAUGCCCGCCAAGGAUUUGUCUUAACUUUUCGAACGCAGCAUUCAAAUGCAAAUUUUAUGCAGCAGCGGAGCAGAGAAGCCGCACAAUUCUAGGGAAGGGAACUAAUGAGUGCUCAUUCACGGGGGCGUGGCAGGCGAAGGAAAUGCCUGGAGGCUGACCAGGCUCAGAUUCAGUUUCAGCUGAAGCAGGAGCUCUUUCGUUUGCUUUGGCCCAGGCCCGUAACAGGGUCAAACUACUGACUUCCGAGUGCAACGUCACCGCCUCAAGGAUGGGUUUCACCUGCUUUUCCUCUAAUAAGUGAGCACCUGAAUGCGGCUGGGUGGGUGUGGGUGUGUGGGCCCAUUGUGGGUGCCCUCCUCGCAAGGUGAGCCAUUGAAAGGUGGCCCAAGGAGCAAAGGUGGGUGGCUAAUGCCAAAGAGCCUAGCCACCAGCACCCACACACACGGGCACAACAAAAACUCCUUUCAAAAGUUUUCGGGGCUUUCGGAAUCAAAGCCAAGCCGAGCGGUUUGAAUGGGAUUUGCGCUGGCAAAGGAUUAUGUUUAAAAGCGAUUUUAUUACCAGAAAGGAUAUAUUCUCAUCGAGAGUAUUCUUCGACCUCCGCAGGGAUGUUGGUCAUUUGCCAACAUUUGUUAAGGUGCUUUCAGUCCCCUUCAGGUGGUCUUAGGCUUAAGAUAUAUUAGUAAAAAUGAGAGCUAAAAUUUGUCCAUUUCCUAGCAUUAGGCAUUUACCACAACGCAUUCAUUGUAUACUAUAGGCUUAUUGCUUUAGUAUGGAAUAAAAUCUACUUUUGGAUAAUUAUAUGUUAAUAACGGCCAUCAUAAACACAUUUUAUAGGCCCAUUUUACUUUGUUUA